rnacentral:rRNA from 1 species
GACGAACGCUGGCGGCGUGCUUAACACAUGCAAGUCGAACGGAAAGGCCCCUUUGUUGCUCCUCGAGUGGCGAACGGGGACGUAACACUUGCGUAACCUGCCCUUGACUUCGGGACAACUACAGCAAACUGGGGCCAAUACCGAUUAGGAAUCCUUUCUUCAAGGUGGUGGUUGGAUAGCUACGGCGGUUUUGGAUGGACUUGCGGCUUAGCUGCUUGUUGGUGGGGUUGUGGCUUACCAAGGCUUUUUCGGGAAGCGGGACUGAGGGGGCGACCGGCCACACUGGGACUGAGGGAAGGCCCAGGCACCUACGGGAGGCAGAAGGGGGGAAUAUUGCACGAUGGGCGGAAGGCUGAUGCAGAAAGGCCGCGUGCGGGAUGACGGCCUUAGGGUUGAAAACCGAUUUCAGCAGGAGCGAAGCUUGUGGUGACGGUACCUGCAGAAGAAGCACCGGCUAACUACGUG